CAGAUCACCUGCAUCUACUGGCAGUGCAGUCACUCCAGACUAUAGCUGAACCCAUCAAAGCUGCCACACUUACUGACAGCUGUCUACAAGGUAGCUGUUGGCCCCUUCCUGCAUUGCACUUAUUGACUGUUUCCUGAUGCUAAUCUGUCAGUCCUGAAUGAUGAGAGGUGGAGCUUGUUGUUCUUGGCAAGGCAACCAGGAAAUCUAGUGCUUCCACUUUCAUUAAUUAUAAAUUUAUAAUUUAGGCCGAUUUCAAUUCUGUUAUAUGAAAAUUUGUUUGAAAUUUGUUUGAAAUGAAGAAGGUGGUGAAUUAAUUGCUUCCUAUUAUCUAGUA